rnacentral:rRNA from 1 species
GACGAACGCUGGCGGCGUGCUUAACACAUGCAAGUCGAGCGGUAAGGCUCCUUCGGGAGUACACGAGCGGCGAACGGGUGAGUAACACGUGAGCAAUCUGCCCUUCACUUUGGGAUAACCACCGGAAACGGUGGCUAAUACCGAAUACGACCACUUCCUGCAUGGGAUGGUGGUGGAAAGUUCUGGCGGUGAAGGAUGAGCUCGCGGCCUAUCAGCUUGUUGGUGGGGUAAUGGCCUACCAAGGCAACGACGGGUAGCCGGCCUGAGAGGGUGACCGGCCACACUGGGACUGAGACACGGCCCAGACUCCUACGGGAGGCAGCAGUGGGGAAUAUUGGACAAUGGGCGAAAGCCUGAUCCAGCAACGCCGCGUGAGGGAUGACGGCCUUCGGGUUGUAAACCUCUUUCAGCAGGGACGAAGCGCAAGUGACGGUACCUGCAGAAGAAGCACCGGCCAACUACGUGCCAGCAGCCGCAGUAAGAC